rnacentral:lncRNA from 1 species
AGACUUGUGGUUGCCUGAUGGGAGGGGGAGGGAGUGGGAGGGAUCGGGAGCUUGGGCUUAUCAGACACAACUUAGAAUAGAUUUACAAGGAGAUCCUGCUGAAUAGCAUUGAGAACUAUGUCUAGAUACUCAUGUUGCAACAGAACAAAGGUUGGGGGAAAAAUGUAAUUGUAAUGUAUACAUGUAAGGAUAACCUGACCCCCUUGCUGUACAGUGGGAAAAUAAAAAAAAAAAAAGUGUUAUAGUAAAAACAUAGUUAUUUACUAAUUUACACAACACAUUUUUUUUCUAAAUAAACUACUAUUUCUUUCUUUUUUUUUUUUUUUUUUUUACAGCCAUACCUGUGGCAUAUGGAAGUUCCCAAGUUAGGGGUCGAAUUGGAACUACAGCUGCUGGCCUACACCACACAGCCACAGCAACACCAGAUCUGAGCUGCAUCUGCGACCAUACUGCAGUCUGUGGCAAUGCCAGAUCCCUAACCCACUGAGCAAGGCCAGGGAUCUAGCAUCCCCAUGGAUACUAGUUGUGUUCUUAACCCUCUGAGCCACAAUNUACUGCAGUCUGUGGCAAUGCCAGAUCCCUAACCCACUGAGCAAGGCCAGGGAUCUAGCAUCCCCAUGGAUACUAGUUGUGUUCUUAACCCUCUGAGCCACAAUGGAAACUCCUACAUAAACUACUAUUAUAUCUUAUGGAAUGAAUAUCUCUGGAAUACAAUUUGUGGAACAGAUAGCUAAAAAUAAUAUUGAGCUUUCUGAAGUUCAAGGUAAUUGCUCUGAGGCAGGAAUGGACUAUCAGUUAAAGUCAAUUACCAAUGUUUUAAGAAGUGAGUGAUUCUCUAGGAUUUAGUCUCUUGCUAUUUCCUCUCAAGGAACUUGCAACCUCAAUUAGAAGUUAAUAGAAAAUGGGAGUUCUUAAUAUGCUGAACCACAAUGGGAACUCCUUAUUUUUCAAUAGUAACUUAUGUCCUUAUUGCAAGGAUUCAAUAAUUCAUGAUAUUUUAGCCAUCAAACAAAGUUUAGCAUAUACUAUGUCAUCAAAAAUGUUAGGGCUUUUAUUAUUUUAUUUUUUUGGAUUAAGUUUUAUAAUUACACAAGGAUUUUCCCUCACUCUUCCAAAAACAUAAAACCAUUUAUUUAAAGAUCAUUGUAAGAUCUGAAACUAGAUAUUAAGAAGGUUUACUAUUUACAGACACAACUUUCAUCAAUUAACUUUAUUACUCAUAUUUUGGAAUUCAACAAUUAAAUUGGAAAACUUUCCAACUCAACAAUAUGGAAGAAUUCUUACCCCAGCUUGCUAUAAGCCUGAUUGCAGUAAGUUCAUGUGUGAGCUGAAUAUUGAGAAGCCUGUGAAGUUAUUUCAUUUAAUGGAAAAAUCACUGUUAUUUAUCAGAAAAUCAAGAAAAUACUGGGUCAGUUUCUACUGGGAAAAUAAAACACAGGGAACAAGGAAAUAAAAGACUCA